CACUCCAGUGGCUUAGUGGUUAGAGCAUCCACCUCGAAUGCAGGAGGUCAUGGGUUUGAUCCCAGGCUGAGUCA